GUGCUUGUUUCAGUAGUACAUAUACUAAAAUUGAAACAAUACAGAGAAGGUUAGCACAGCCCCCACCUAAGGAUGGCAUGCAAGUUCAUCAAGUGUUCCAUAUUAAU
ensembl:snRNA U6 U6 spliceosomal RNA